CUUCAGGGUUUUGGUUGAAAAGCUCCCCGAAAAAGGAGGAGCCCGACCUCCAGGUGGUCAGAACGUAGAUGAGCUGCCUCUUCUUAGCCAGGGAGGGCCUGUAAAGGAAGCGGAUGUCAGACCUGCUCUGGUAAGUGGCGCUCCUCAUCUGGUGGUUGCACUGCUGGGGCUCUUUGGUCCAUUUAUAAUUCGCCAAGUUGAGCAUAGUGAGGACCAGCAGCAAGAAAUAGGCCAUAAAUAACACAAUCCUUUUCCUGCGGAGCACUUUCAUCACGAUCCCAGGCUGUGCAAUUAUCUUGGUAUGAUUCCUGUAAGUUUUGAGCUUCCUGCCAAAUCCAGCAUCCUUCUCCCAAGGCGCUGUCAACUUCAAGGGAUAAUGAAAUUGUUUACCUCUCAUCUGUAACCUGUGAGCGGCUCCCACCGCCGGACAAAAGCAGUUUACAUUGACAAUGCAGCAAUGCGCUCAGCAGUGCGUGAGUGUGUGCGGGCUGCACCGGGAAUUUAUCACCGCUUCAGCACCGGCUGAUUAGGUAAUAUAUUCAGCAGCAGUUCGGAAGCGACGGGGCGAGAUCCAGUCCUCACUGCACUGCGCAAUGAUCCUCAUAGGAGCGGCGGCUGGAGUCGUCCAUCCCGACAGCUGCAGUGAUUCGCGGAGGCAUCCCUGCGCAGCUCUCCUCUGAGGCAUCCUGGGGGAACGCAGCCUGCCGGGAAUCACUGCGCGACUCGACGGAGGGAGACUUUACAACCUCCCCACACAAUAAAAGAGCGAAGAGGCGGCCGCAAAACACGUCCAGCUCCGGCGCUCGUUUCACUGAAACAAACUGAGGCGAUUCAAUCCUUCCAGGAGGACAGCUCCCGCCCACCGCGACAGGGGAUUGGUUCGUGCUGUGACGUCAAGCGUAAAGGAGCGACGCUCAUUGGUCGUUCCGCCUGGCAGUCUUUCGGCAGCUGCCAUGGAAACACCCACAAUGGUAGACGGCGGGCGGAUGCUGUUGUUAUGUGUUAGAUACACCCCUCCCCAUAACCCUCGCGCUCCCAAAAAAACAAAAUAGAUAUCUCGAAAACUCCCCUCCA
rnacentral:lncRNA from 1 species